rnacentral:rRNA from 1 species
CGGAUUUCGGGGCGGCUUCGUCGGUCUGCCGAUGGGUAUGCACUGACGCGGGCGUCCUUCCUUCCGGAGACGCGUCCUACUCUUAGCUGAGCGGGGCGUGGAGACGGAUCGUUUACUUUGAAAAAAUCAGAGUGUUUCAAGCAGGCAUCAUCGCUCUUGCAUGGAUUAGCAUGGGAUAAUGAAAUAGGACCUUGGUGCUAUUUUGUUGGUUUCGAGCACCGAAGUAAUGAUUAACAGGGACAGUCAGGGGCACUCGUAUUCCGCCGAGAGAGGUGAAAUUCUCAGACCAGCGGAAGACGAACCACUGCGAAAGCAUUUGCCAGGGAUGUUUUCACUGAUCAAGAACGAAAGUUAGGGGAUCGAAGACGAUCAGAUACCGUCGUAGUCUUAACCAUAAACCAUGCCGACUAGGGAUUGGAGGAUGUCCACUUUUGACUUCUUCAGCACCUUACGGGAAACUAAAGUCUUUGGGUUCCGGGGGGAGUAUGGUCGCAAGGCUGAAACUUAAAGGAAUUGACGGAAGGGCACCACCAGGAGUGGAGCCUGCGGCUUAAUUUGACUCAACACGGGGAAACUUACCAGGUCCAGACAUUGUGAGGAUUGACAGAUUGAGAGCUCUUUCUUGAUUCGAUGGGUGGUGGUGCAUGGCCGUUCUUAGUUGGUGGAGUGAUUUGUCUGGUUAAUUCCGUUAACGAACGAGACCUUAGCCUAUUAAAUAGUGUCGCGAACACUUGGUUCGCGUUCACUUCUU